GACGAACGCUGGCGGCGUGCUUAACACAUGCAAGUCGAACGAAGUGGCGAACGGGUGAGUCACGCGUAAUCAACCUGCCCUUCAGAGGGGAACAACAGUUGGAAACGACUGCUAAUACCGCAUACUGCAGGUGGGGAUUGCGUCUGUUUAGCUCGUUGGGGGGGUAACGGCCCACGAAGGCGAUGAUCAGUGGACGGUAUGGGAGGGUGAACGGCCACAUUGGGAGUAAGACACUGCCCGGAAUCUUACGGGAGGCAGCAGUGGGGAAUCUGCCGCAAUGGAUGAAAGUCUGACGUGGCAACGCCGCGUGAGUGAUGAAGGCCUGCGGGUUGUAAAGCUCGGUUAAUCGGGACGCGGUACCGGAAUAGAAAGCCACGGCUAACUACGUGCCAGCCGCCGCGUAAUUC
rnacentral:rRNA from 1 species